AGCAAAGUGGCCGAGCACAGGCAAAAGAUUGUAGCUCUUUACACGGGUCAUCCCCCUUUGUAA
rnacentral:tRNA from 1 species